rnacentral:rRNA from 1 species
GAACUUAAGCAUAUCAAUAAGCGGAGGAAAGAAACUAACAAGGAUUCCCCUAGUAACUGCGAGUGAAGCGGGAAAAGCUCAAAUUUAAAAUCUGGUGGCCUCCGGUCAUCCGAGUUGUAAUUUAGAGAAGCGUCUUCCGCGCUGGACCGUGCACAAGUCUCCUGGAAUGGAGCGUCAUAGAGGGUGAGAAUCCCGUCUUUGGCACGGAUCCCGGGGCUUUUGUGAUGCGCUCUCGAAGAGUCGAGUUGUUUGGGAAUGCAGCUCAAAAUGGGUGGUGAACUCCAUCUAAAGCUAAAUAUUGGCGAGAGACCGAUAGCGAACAAGUACCGUGAGGGAAAGAUGAAAAGCACUUUGGAAAGAGAGUGAAACAGUACGUGAAAUUGUUGAAAGGGAAACGCUUGAAGUCAGUCGCGUCGUCCGAGACUCAGCCUCGCCUCGGCUUGGUGUACUUCUCGACCGACGGGUCAGCAUCAAUUUCGCCCCUUGGAUAAUGGCGUGGGAAAUGUGGCACCUUUGCGGGUGCGUUAUAGUCCCUCGUCGCAUGCAAGGGUCGGGAUUGAGGAACUCAGCACGCGCCUUUCGGCGUCGGGGUUUUUGCCCACGAUACGUGCUUAGGAUGUUGGCGUAAUGGCUUUAAACGACCCGUCUUGAAACACGGACCAAGGAGUCUAACAUGCCCGCGAGUGUUCGGGUGGAAAACCCGUGCGCGCAAUGAAAGUGAAAGUUGGGACCUCUGUCGUGGAGGGCACCGACGCCCGGACCAGACCUUCUGUGACGGAUCUGCGGUGGAGCGUGUAUGUUAGGACCCGAAA